CCCGGGUCUUGCCCUUCCAUUAUGGAACCCGCCACAAUAGGCAAAUCUACAGAGACAGGAAGGAGACGCGUGGGGGCCUGGGGCAGGGGAGGGGGAAGGGAGCGACCGCUAAGAGGUGAGGGUUUCUUUCCGGGUGAUGAAAAUGUGGAUACUCUGGGAAGUGACUGAAGCCACUGAGCCGUGCGCUUUAGAUGGGUAAGUGUGCAGAACGUGAGUUAUAGCCCCAAAGCGCUGGUGAUGAAGGAGGUGCCCGUGGGGUGGAUGGCACGCGUGGGUGCUCCAGGCUCACAGCACACCCCUGUUGGCUGCUCGCCACCUGCCCCCGUCCUGGGCACGGGCUGCCACGUCUUGGCCGGGGCCCGAGGGGUGGAUGCUGAGCUUGAGAGAGGCCCCUGAAGGUCGCUGAGAUGACCUUGGAGGGAAAGGAGGUGGUCCAUCCUCCACCCUCAGGGGGAGGCCGCCAGAGCCAGGGUGAUGGGGGGCAAGACCUGGGACUUAGCAGCCACUGCCAGAGUUUCACCCCCAGCCCCCUUGCUGGCUCUGUGGCCUCAGGCAAAUUGCUUAACCUCUCUGGCCGUCGUUUCCUCUUCUGAAGAAAUGGAGGUGAUGGAAUUCUCAGUCCUGACCAUAGGAGAAAGGAGGGCAUCUGCGCAGCACAUCUGGAAAAGGGCUUUGCCCAUCCUGAGUGCUUGGAAAAGGGUCUCCAGAGGGAGGGGCUGAGCGAGGUCAGAAGACCCCGAGUCCAGUCUGGCUCCUGCCCACCUAGUGACCCCCACCCUUGCUGGAGCCUCAGGCCCUGCCACGUCCAGGCCUGUGCCUCCCGCUCCUUCUCAGCAGGCCUGUCCCCAGCCUGUCCCCGUGUAACAGACGGACCUGGAGCAAGGAAUCGCCUCUCGGGGUCUUCGUCUGUUCACCUGUCGGAUGAGGGAGGGAGACCGAAGAAGCCCCAGGGCCCCCUUGCUGCCGGCCUUGCCCGCUCCCUGGCCCAGCACGCCUCUAGGGCUUGCCCUCGGCUUCCCCAUGUCCUGUGUCCUCAUGUCACCCGCCUGCCUCUCUAGUCGCUCAGAGGCAGGAGCCCACCUUCCUGCUGGGGCUGAAUGAGUGAGCAUCCACCUUGACUGAGGCCCCAGCCAGCUUCACCUGGGCCUGAGGGAGUGACCUUGGGCAAAACCUGGCUCUGGGCCUCAGUUUCGCCCACUAUAAAACAGACCUAAUAAUCUCUGUGUCUUCUUUGUCUUCCUGGGGAGGACGGUGAUGAGCCCUGGCAUCCAGGGGCAGGAAGGACCUUAAAUGAUAUUGAGUUCAACCCCAAAUCCAAUGCUUGAGGACCCCUACCAGGCCCCAGGCUGUGCUUGCAUACCUCUGGAGUGACGGGGAGUUCACUUUCUGCCCACCCAAUCCAUUCUAUCCAUUUGCUUGACAACAGUGACCGCAUCUAACAGGUGCCACACACAGUGGCAGGUUCUGAUGGCUCAAAAGUGAAUAGGGGCCAGGUGACAUAGAGGCAAUGACAUUGUUCAGGCUUGAACCCUGACUGUUUCUGCCUCUUCUUAGCUCUGUGUGGCCCCUGAGAGUCUUAACCGCAUUUCCUCAUCUGUAAAUGGCAGUCACAGCUCCCCGCCUGUGAGGUCACUGGAAAGACCUCCCCCAGGUGAGCUGGAGACCCUGGGGCACGAGCUCAGUCACUCUUGGGGAGCAGGUGCCAUCGUUGUCUCAAUUUUUCAAAUGAAUUUUUCAGAGGCACAGAGAUGUUAAGCAACUACCCUGAGGUCACACAGUGAGUGUGACAGGUGGAGCCCAAGCUGGGCCCCGGCUGCCUAUGCCCGGGUCCCUUGUACCUCACACCUCUCACAAGGGGCCUGCUCAGCGUAGCCCAGUUCCCUUCACACGAUGCAGGGGCAUGAGCGCUCCGUGCUCCCCAGAAGCCUCAGACCCAUUCAGCCUCCUUUUCUUAGAGGGCAAGUGGGGCCGGUGGUUUUCCACUGUUAUUUUUAGCUCUGCCCCCACUGUAUUGUUUCGGAUCCAGAGAACGGAGCCUCCGAGGUCCUGCGAGUGUCCAGCCAGUGUCCGGGGGGUAUAACCUUAGCGGGCUUGCAUAGGAGCAGUGAUGACAAGGCUACCGGAACCUGAGCUCCCCGACCCCCACCCCACCCCCACGGAGACUCGGAUCCACUGCGAGUGACUCAACAGAAGCGGCCCUGCCCCCAUCCCGUCCAACUGGCGUCCACAGGUGGGGAGAGAACAGCGCUCCCAGAAGCCGGAUGAAAGGAGUCGCUCCGGGUCACGAGCUUGGCAUUUCCCAGCUCCGCCUCCGUGUCCACUCACCUCCAAGGUCAGCCUCUGCAGAGCCACACAACCCGCGGGAGGGACCCCUCCAGGCCCCAGGGGGCUGGCAAGGAGGACUGGGAUGGGACAGCAGCCACCGUGUGGUACAGAAGUGAAUCCUGUGGCCCCCACCUGUCUGGGAGCGAGUCUGGGCUCUGCCGGUGUGAUGCUGGCUCAGGUUUCCCGUGAGGCUGUGUCAGGCUGUCGACCGGGCCACAGGCAUCCAAAGGCUGGACUCGGGCUGGAGGACCCUCUUCCAAGGUGGCUUCCUCCCCUGGUGGCAGGCUCGCACUGGCUGUUGGCAGAGGCCUCACUUCCUGGCCACAUGGGCCUCUCCACAGGGCCGCUUGGAUGUCCUCACCACACGGCGGCUGGCUUCCCCAGACUGAGCGACCCGCGAGAACAAGGCGGCAGCUGCGAUGUCUCCUAUGACCUAAGCUCGGAAGUCACACUCUGUCACCUACGCAGUAUCCUGUUGGUGACACAGGUCCGAGCUGCUGGCUGUGGGAGGGGAUGACACAAAGGUGUGGACGCCAGGAUCUCUGGGGAGCCAUCUCGGAGGCUGGCCGCACUGUGCCAUGCCUCGGGGACGGACAGGAAGCAAGACCACCGUUGUUGAUGUCAUGGCUGAGCGUGACUGUGUGUGUAAAUGGCAAAAACCAGCAUGGCGAACCCAAAGAAACAGCUGGAGACGCAUCCUGUGAAGAUGAACAGGGUGGCAUGUGACAGUGGUCAGAGGGAAGGCCUCUUCAGGAGGGUUGGGGUGGGUUUGAGCCUGAGGGUGGACCCAGCCCGCCAUGGAAGGGUGGGGGGAGGCAGUCCCAGGCAGAGGGAACAGCGCCUGUGCACUGUGAGAGGGCCGUUCUGCCUGGCUCUAAUGCUCGCUUGUGUGCGUCCCUCUUUGACUCAGUUUCCCCGUCUAUAAAAGGGGGAUAAUAACCGUUCCCACUUCCUAUAGGCGUUUCUACAAGGGAAGCCCCUAGCACAGGGCCUGGGGCCGAGUGAGUGCUGGGGACGUGAGCGUCGGGAUCCUCACUCGACACUCUGAUGUUGACUGGGCUGCCAUCCUAAGCAUUGCCUGAUGACGGUCUCGCUUCCUUUAACGUAAUCCUCUAGGAAGGGAGAGGGACCAAGGAGCCAGUGUGGGGGACCCUGUGGCCCGGGGGCGGGAGUAAAGCUGGCGUGGGGGUGCUCUCUCUGAAAAUAUGGGGGCGUGCGUGGAAGGCUCCCCUCAGGAGAAACACAGGAGUCUAGAAAGGUGAGGCGGGGGACAAAGGCC
ensembl:lncRNA